UAGGUUAUGGUCAGUUUGAUCCUGGUUGGCAAUACGUGAACAUGCCAGUUAUAGCUAGCUAAUAAAGAGCUACGUUAAGAAAUAUCCUGUAGUACUGCAUUAUAUUAUUUUGUACAAAAUGUACAAAACAUGGUGUCAGAGUAAAAGGUCUUAAAAUAUGAAUUUUUCUGGAGUUCCUUUACCUCGAAUGGACUGGGACUCUACAAAUUUACCCAAUGCAUGGCGUAAGUACAAACAGCAUGUGAAGCUAAUGUUCACGGGUCCUCUGAAGGACAGAGGAGAAGAGGAAAAGUGCAGCUACCUGCUCCUCUGAAUCGGUGAAAAAGGAGAGAUAUUUACAACACAUGGACACUUACCGAGGCUGAAUCAAAGCUUGGAACCUCACAGCAGAGAGCCAGGAGCUGCAGCACGGGUCAGACUCACAGCUGAGAGCACGGUCAGAGCACACAGCUGGCAGUGAUAUGUCACAACAUAUUGGGUCCAGCCACAAGACGACGCCGACGAGAGGGACGACCCCGAGGACGAGGAGCAGGUGGCGAAGGUGGAAAUCACGGAUGAUGUUGGGAUCCAGAAUGUCCUACACCGGAACCCAACAUCGACAACCCGGAACCCAACAUCACGUGAGCUUCGCUCCACACUUAUGCGCACCUGAAGCACUCGUCAACCGCAGGAGCUUCGGUCUGGCCCAGGGUCCACGGAGCCGAGGACGAGCAUACCAACCCUACCAUGUCACAACACAUUGGUUGGCUGAAACACAUUAUGAAGCAAAUUAACUUUCAACAAGGCACACCUGUUAAUUCAAAUGCAUUCCAGGUGACUACCUCAUGAAGCAGGUU